CUUGUUUGUAUCAUUUCCGUAGAGAGAGAAAUCAGGACAGCAGUGUAUCCUGAAAAAACUAUAAUGAAUCUCUGACUCAGCUAAUCGUAAGAACUCAGGCAUUCUAAUCAUCAUUUCAAGGUUCUUCUUUUUGUCUGAUUAAUAAAAGUCAAAAGAACAAAUUGACAUGAGAAUCUAAGAAACAGCUCAUAUGCGGUGCCCAGUUCCAACUUGAGUUUUCUACGUUUCGAUGACUCGUUUCGAUCACAAACGGGUAACCACCUCCUCAUCUCUUUUCAGCUCCUUUCAUUGUUGACCUAAUUUGAUGAUCCUGCGUGCAGGUACUUUUAAAUAUUAAAGAACACUACACCAAUUCUCCUCUGUCAGCCACUAGAGCUACCUAAUGGGGCCUUUAAGUGCUUGAGCAUACCAAGCUUCAAACUGAUGGGGUGGUGGUUGGGUAAUGAAGUAGAAGAACCAAUAAUGAAGCUAGUAAAAGCUUAAGUUGAACGCACUGCACAAGGCAAAACAGUUGGUAUUGUUCUUGCACCUCAAGGAAUCAAUGGGAGUAUAUAUGGGAUAAGGGAAUUAGUGGAAGCAGUUCUUUGUUUCAGAUACAUACAAGCUGAUGAGCGGUUAAAAGGUCUAAGACAGAUCGAAUCUCCAGCGAGUCCUGAGGAAGAAGACAUCCAUCAUGGACAAACUAUAGCAGUUCCCCUGUGCGGGUCAAUGUGGAGAAAGAGAUAGUCUCUCUUGGAAUGCCAUCAACCCAUGAAUGUUUGCUUAUAAUUGAAUUACAAGAGGAGAGAUCUUGUAGUUUGUUGAUUCAUUUCGACAAGGGAACACCGCCACUAGCUAAUGUAAUCAAAGAAGCCUUUGAAGGAAGUGAUGUUGUUGCAAAGGUUGAAGCAACGAAAAAAGCAGUAAUAUGAGUGUGCCUGAACCCUUGUUUCACUUCCAUCUGCACCAUUGGCUAUUAGGGAUGCUGCCAACACCGAAACCUCAGACUGAUAACAGUGUCUAGCUUAUUGUGCUUGAUCGACUGAAUGAGCUCAAAACUUCUCACAGAGAGAUUAUGGUUGAUAUGAUCAUGGAUGUGUGUAGGGUACUUGCAAGCCCAAAUUUUGAUAUUCAAAAGAAGGCAGUUGACAUUGCUCUUGAGCUGAUAACUCCAUGUAACAUUGAUGAUGUUUUUCAAGCACUGAAAAAGGAAGUUGCGAAGACUCAGAGCACUGAGCUUGAGAAGAAUGGGGAAUACUGUCUAAUGCUUGUUCAAGCUAUGCAUUGUUGUGCAAUAAAACUCCUGAAGUGGCAGCACUAUGUUUCAUUUGUUGACGGAUUUCUUGGGUAAUAGCAAUCUGGCCUCAGCUAUUGAUGUGGUUUUUCGCGUACGCGAUAUUAUUGAUGUGGUUUUCAAAUUACAUCUAGGUUCUUGGGCACAUUUACCAGAUAUGUGCUGCAUGUUUAUGUUCUUGUGCUCACUGGAUCAUUGGAGAGUACUGUCUCUUGCUCACUUGCAAGCCCAAUUUUUGAUAUUCGAAGGAAGACAAUUGACAUUGCUCUUGAGCUGAUAACUCCAUCUAACAUUGAUGAAGUGGUUCUAGCACUGAAGAAGGAAGUUGUAAAGACUCAGAGCACCGAGCUUGAGAAGAAUGGGGAAUACCAUCAAAUGCUUGUUCAAGCUAUACAUUCUUGUGCAAUAAAAUUCCUGAAGUGGCAGCACUGUGGUUCAUUUGUUGGUGGAUUUCUUGGGUAAUAGCAAUGUGGCCUCAACUAUUGAUGUGGUUGUUCGCGUAUGCUAGAUUAUUGAUGUGGCUUUCAGUUAUAACUAGGUUCUUGGGCACAUUUACGAGAUAUGUGCUGCAUGUUUUUGUUCUUGUGCUCACUGGAUCACUGGAGAGUACUGUCUCUUACUCACUGAAGUUGAGUGUGGGCUUGCUACCAUUAAGCAAUGUCUUAGGGACCUGCCUUUUUUCACAGUAAGAAGAUGGCACAGAUACUUCAAGGAUACUAUGCUACUAGGAUACCCAGAAUUCUUGCUGGGGGUACCUAUGCUACUCAGAGUGCUGCCUCGGAAACUGCCAUAUCUCCUCCUACUCUUGACCAAAUAAAAAAUUAAUAGAACAUUUUGAAAUGAGAAUCAAGAGUCAAGUUCAGGUUAUACAAGAAGUAUUACCACAAGUAUUUUUGGUUGAAGAGACAGUGUAUGUUUGGAGCCCAGUCUCAACUCCAGUUUUCUUUUGAGACUCCUCUGGAUCUCAAAUGGCGUCUUCAGCGUGUUUCAGGUGGUAAUGUUCUUGCACCCGAAUUAAUCAAGGGGAAUCAUUGUAGUACUUGUGAGAUAUGAGAAUCGGUGGAUACAGUUCUUGGUUUCACAAGCUGAUGACUGGUUGAAAGGUCUUAGACAGAUCAAAUCUCCAGCGACUCCCGGGGAAGAGGCCGUCCAUCCUGGGCACACUAGCAGUUUCCCUCUUAGAGCAGGGGAAGAUGCAUCUUUCCAGCAGGAUUAGGUGUGAGUCAAGGUGAAGAAAGAGAUAAUCUCUCUUGGAAUGCCAUCAGUGUCACCCAAUGAACGAGUUGGAAAGCACUUGGACCCAUAGGAAUCGAAUGAAUUGAUUAGUGACCCAGUAACUAUAGUAAUUGAUGUUCAAAGUUCUAGGAAGUUUAAAAGGAGCUGUAGAUCCAUGUAUGAUGGCCUUCCAGAAAUUACCAUCUUGGGUGGAUGAUAAUCUGUUACCAGCUGAAUCUAAUUGCGACAACAGCAGAUUGAGGCUGACGGGUUGGGUAAAAGUAAAACCAUCCACUGACCAGGAAAGAAAAAUUCCACCGCAGGUUGCAAGUAGCACCGUCAGGUGUUGCGUGAAAGUACUAGACCUUCAAAGACGAGGAGCUUCAAAAAGUUUCAUGGCUGAAUGUGGAGCAAUGAGAUGCAUUCAGCAUCGAAAUCUAGUGAAGAUGCCGACUUGUUGCUCUAGUAUUGAUUUUAAAGGAAAUGAAUUUAAAGCUCUAGUCUCCGAGUUCAUGCCAAAUGGAAAUAUUGAGAAUUGGUUGCACUAAAUGUAUCCAUUGACUACUUUAUCCAAACAGCUAAUGAAGAGCAACUUCAAGGGUCAGUGAGGAGAUCACUGGGUUUUAUGGAGCUACUAAAUGUAUCCAUUGAUGUUGCUUCUGCACUAGAUUAUCUUCAUCAAGAUUGUCAGACUCCAAUUGCUCAUUGUGAUCUAAAGCCAGAUACUACUUUACUUGACGAUGACAUGAAGGGUCAUGUUUGUGAUUUCGGAUCAGGAAAGUUUCUUGGUGGGGUCAUCAUCAGUAUUGAAUCUGAACCCGAUACAAACAGUACUUUGGUUGGGAUAAAGGGGCUCGAUUGGUUAUGCUACUCCAGGUAGAAGUUUUGGCUCAAUUGGUUAUGCUGCUCCAGUUAUGGGAACAUGGUGCUAGUCUGCUAGAGUUGUUUCCCCAACGAGACCUACAGGUUGCAUGAUAACGGAUGGUUUAAGACUCAUACAUUUGUUAAGACAGCUCCACUUAGAGAUCGUGAAUGCAGAUCGUUGACCUAUAGCACUACUUGUUCCUGUCCAUCCCGAAGACAAUGAUGAUACCAACAAUGAAAUUCUAGUCAAGAGCAUGCCGGAUGCCAAGGUAAAGGAUGGAAAUACAGGUAUUGAAAGAGUUGCAGUCGUAAGAUCACAUAUCUCUCCAUAUUGGGACCCAAUUAAGGUAUAGUGCUGGCAACCAAUACUCAUUCCUAUACAGGAAAAGCUAUUCCCUUUGGUAUGAGAGAAACUUGCAUUCAAGUCCUUUAAUGAGCAACAUGGUAAAAUUGUUGUAAUAAAUGUCUGUAGCUGGAGUUGUUUCAAGGGAUGCUAGUCAAUUAGAAAGCAAAAUGAUAUAUUUACGUUUUAUAA